rnacentral:rRNA from 1 species
UACGUAGGGUGCGAGCGUUAAUCGGAAUUACUGGGCGUAAAGCGUGCGUAGGCGGUUCCUCAAGUCCGUUGUGAAAGCCCCGGGCUCAACCUGGGAAUGGCAGUGGAAACUAGGGGACUGGAAUCUGGCAGAGGGGGGUGGAAUGCCGCGUGUAGCAGUGAAAUGCGUAGAGAUGCGGCGGAACACCGAUGGCGAAGGCAGCCCCCUGGGCCGAAACUGACGCUGAGGAGCGAAAGCGUGGGGAGCAAACAGG